ACAUUUGAAAACUUACAGAUCCGGUCUUUAAGAAAAAAAAAUGAAAAUGCGCGCUUAUAUAAAUAAAGAUACGCUUACAUUGGUCAAGACAGGAAAUUUGUGAACGCAGAUAAGUUAUCAACGUUAUAUCCAAGUUUCGCAUUGAUUCAAAGCCACUUACCAUGACAUCAAAUAAAGCCAUCGUAUGUGUUUUUUUCCUGGCAGCGUUUUGUAUAUCUGGGAUCCUAGGGGCAGGUGGAAAUAGUUGUUGGGCUCCACCAUUAUUCUUUGGAUCAGAAUGCAAGUCAGACACAUCUAUAAUUGGACACCCAAGCACGAAAAUCGUGUAUUCGAUCAGCUUUAAUGGAAACACAAUGCUUUGCUGCAAAGCGUUUUACUGCAAGAACAAUAGAUGCAAACUUUAUGAUAUCGGAUGCAGCGCUAGAAGUUGGAGGACAAGGGUCCUACCUUGGGGAAACUGGAUUGGCACACCGUCUGUUCAAUGCAAAGGCGUUGUUCUCGGGGCGGCUUAUACCUUCUCUCACUAGAGAUACCAAAUGAAGUCAGUCACAUGCCGAGAUAAUAUGUGUAUUUUUAAGUAGAAAAUGACGAUAUAUAUUGAAAUUGCUUCUGUUGUUUAAAGAAAUGAUUAUACUGAAUUCACUAUAUCUUUUUUCAUUUCUCUUCUUCAGUCUAUUAAUCCAAAAUAAGUUUCUAAACUGCAACAUAUUGUACGCUCGAUGACAACAUGUGAUUUAUUUGAAUAAUUCUAAUAAAACAUAUUAUUUCA